CGGAACACGUACAGAACCUUCCUUUAAGCGGGGGAUAGCCCAUAGAAAUGUGGAUUAAUACCCCAUAGUAAUGUUGAGUGGCAUCACUUAAUAUUUAAAGAUUUAUCACUUAAAGAUGGCUGUGCGGCUGAUUAGGUAGUUGGUGUGGGUAACGGCCCACCAAGCCUGCGAUCAGUAACUGGUGUGAGAGCACGACCAGUCACACGGGCACUGAGACACGGGCCCG
rnacentral:rRNA from 1 species